rnacentral:rRNA from 1 species
GACGAACGCUGGCGGCGUGCCUAACACAUGCAAGUCGAACGGAGAUUGCAGUAAUGUAAUCUUAGUGGCGAACGGGUGAGUAACGCGUAGACAACCUGCCUCAAAGAUGGGGACAACACCGUGAAAGUGGUGCUAAUACCGAAUAACCUGAAUUUUGCGCAUGCAAAAUACAGCAAAGACGGCCUCUGAAAAUGCUGUCGCUAUGAGAAGGGUCUGCGUCUGAUUAGCUAGUUGGUGGGGUAAGGGCCUACAAAGGCGAAGAUCAGUAGCCGGUCUGAGAGGAUGAACGGCCACACUGGGACUGAGACACGGCCCAGACUCCUACGGGAGGCAGCAGUGGGGAAUAUUCCGCAAUGGACGAAAGUCUGACGGAGCAACGCCGCGUGAGUGAAGAAGGCCUUCGGGUUGUAAAACUCUGUCUUCUGGGACGAACGGCCAAGAGAGGGAAUGCUCUUGGAUUGACGGUACCAGAGGAGGAAGCCACGGCUAACUACGUGCCAGCAGCCGCGGUAACAC